UGUAUGGCUCCCCCAGCACCUGGAGUGUGUGGCAUCCUUUAGUGCCAUCACCAAAAAGGAGCUAUUGCUUCUACCCUGCUGAUGGGGAGCUGAGCUUCUUGGAUAUCAGCCUUGUCAGGAAUUUGGGAAACAGAGUCAUGGUCUGAGGUUAACACUCUACUGCUGGCUUGGUUCACCAGUCGGUGCUGGGUAAGCCUUGCAGGAGCUCCAGCUAAACCUUCACCUGCAGUGAAUAAAUUUCCUAGCUGGAGGGAAACUUCUUCCUGUGAUGGGGGACAGGAUGUCUCUGUGAGACACUUUACCAAUGGAUUUACUGCAAUGGAGGGGGAAGAGGCAUAACCUUGUCUUCCUGAAAAUUCCCAAACAGAGGAGCCUGCCAUCACCCUGAGGAGCAAGGGUAAGCUGCAGGCCUGCUCUGUGCUGCAUAUUUGUCCUUGCCCUGUCCUCACCUUCACAAGUGGAAACCAUGUCUUGGCUGUGCAGGGGCAUCGCUGCUGGUGCAAGGAAGAGGAGAUUGGGCUUAGGUGAAUGAGAACAAAUAACACGAGACUCUUCUAGCAGUGCUAAGGUGACAUUCAGAGAAGCCAGGUCACCAUAUGAGGCUAAGAAAAGCCUCCCUUGGAGGAAGAAAACAGCAAUAUCUGGCCCAGGGGAUGCACCCUGCAGCCUCUGCCACCUGGUACCUGCCUCACUGCCACCACGUACAGGGAAUUUUGUACCCCUUUGAGCUGCGUUUGAUGCCGAGAUGGAGACUUGGAUGUUUUGUUGUUGUUAUCUUGUUGCUCCUAUAAUAACUCUUGGAUUCUUUGCCUGGGGUUGACCAAAUUUCACAGAGGUCUAGAGAGCUUAGAGAUAUUAAACAUCCAGGAGGAGUGCAAAAAUGGGCAUCCGUAAAGAACGAGACCUGUUUAGUGGCUUUAGUGAGGAAAAGGUGAAUAGGAUUAGCUCUUAUCUUUGCAGAGGAAGCCAGGCUUUGUUAGUUCUGCUGCCCAAGCAAUGCCCGGCCACUGUUGUGACGGCGGAUAUUAGGGUCAUAAGCAGUGCCAUAAAUAGCUAAUUUAGCUUUUAUGUGCCAUUUACACCACUUCUGCCAACAAAUUGACACAUGAUAAAUACAAGCAAGAAAGGCUUUCAGCUUUAAAAAUAGAUUUUUUUUUUAUUUUUUUUUCUCCCCACUCUAUAUGCUGCAGGAGGAAGGCCUGACUCUGCUCUCACUUAGGCAGGCAUAAAACAAAAUUAGCUACAGAGAAAUGAAUGGAGAUGCAUCUAUCAAAAAUGUGCAAGUGGCAGCAGAAAUGGCCUCUUCUCUCCUAAACUUCUUCCUAUUCAAUACUGCACAAAUGUCUUUUUUUUAUUUAUUUACUUGAUGCAGAAAUCUUUUAGGACUGAUGGAAAUUAUACUCCUGCCCCUCGAAUCACAGCUGAUGUUGUUCAGGAGCGAACAUGAAUGCAUCUCAAUGGAAAAUCAGCCUGAAUGAAAAGUGUAAAAAAAAAAAUAUAAAGUGUCUCCAUGGAGUGCCUCCUACUUUGCUUUGCUAGAAAGGGAUGAAGUGGCUCUGCUCAGCACUGGCAGGCUCCGCUCUGCCAUCCUUAUCCAGAGCCUUUGGCCUCAGCCAGGCAGGGUAAAGCCCCCAUGGGACCUAGGCAGGUUGGCAGAAGAUGUGGGAAUGUCCCAAGGGGUAUGGCAGGGAAAGGAGGAGGAAGAGCUCACCGUAGGAAAGCAGUGAAUCCCUUCUCCCAGGGAGCUGGAUCUCAGGGCUCUGCUGUCUGAGGUGGCAGUAAUCUGAAAGCUAACCAAAAGCAUUGCUGCUCUCCCAGAGUACCGCCUUAAAUAAUUGAAAAAUGAAUAAUUAAAUUAAAAGAGGAUUAUUUCCCACAGACAAGCAGAAAAUUGCUGCCUGCAGGACAAAGGGCAAUGGCAAGGCUUCAUUUUCUGCAGCCGGCAGUGAGGUGAUGGGAACAACACCUGCAGUGGGCAGGAAGAGCCCCCCUGGGUUACCUUGGGCUUUUUGGCUCCCAGUGUCUCUCUCCGUUGUGUUUUCCCAAACGUAGGGAUGCUGAUUGCUGAAGGAGGAAGCAAAUCAGGAAACACGAGACGUGCCCUUGUUCGUGAAUGUCAGCCCUGGGGUGUGGGGGAAUCUGUUUACGUACAGACACAUGAGGGAUUUGCACAGCCCAGUCCUGCUGACUGAUGGUUAGCUGCUAGACGUAUCUGUGGAAUACAUUUCUAUGUUUAGUCCCUACGUUUAUUUUAACACUGAGUGUGAGGAGAUGUGCACAUGAGCUUUGUUCUGGCACCCUGUAAAAACAAUAUUUCAUGGCACUAUUAUUUUUUCUUAAGAUGUAUAUAUCUGUUUGAGCAGAUGACACAUUGUAAGAGUCUGUAUUUUUCAUGAACUAUAAUUAAAAAUGAGCAACUCUCUGCAUAGGAUAACAACACCAUAAUAUACUUCCUCUCCUCAUGGAAAUUUAAACAAGUUGACAUGCUGAGUGAACAAUGAUCUUACAUUUAUACCACACUUAUUUUCCCUGAGCAGCUGAACACCCAUGGUACACGAAUAUCGAAAUGAUGUGAAGUACUAGAGUGGGGUCUGAACACGUCCAUCAGGGACUCAUUUGUGCUCCUCCACCUCCCCAGUGCCUCAAGC